UACGAAGGGGGCUAGCGUUGCUCGGAAUCACUGGGCGUAAAGGGUGCGUAGGCGGGUCUUUUAAGUCAGGGGUGAAAUCCUGGAGCUCAACUCCAGAACUGCCUUUGAUACUGAAGAUCUUGAGUUCGGGAGAGGUGAGUGGAACUGCGAGUGUAGAGGUAAAGAUUCGUAGAUAUUCGCAAGAACACCAGUGGCGAAGGCGGCUCACUGGCCCGGAACUGACGCUGAGGUGCGAAAGCGUGGGGAGCAAACAGG
rnacentral:rRNA from 1 species